rnacentral:rRNA from 1 species
CCUACGGGGAGCAGCAGUGAGGAAUAUUGGUCAAUGGGCGUAAGUCUGAACCAGCCAAGCCGCGUGCGGGAUGAAGGUUCUAUGGAUUGUAAACCUCUUUUAUAAGGGAAUAAAGUGCGGGACGUGUAUCGUUUUGUAUGUACCUUAUGAAUAAGGAUCGGCUAACUCCGUGCCAGCAGCCGCGGUAAUACGGAGGAUCCGAGCGUUAUCCGGAUUUAUUGGGUUUAAAGGGUGCGUAGGCGGGCUUGUAAGUCAGCGGUGAAAGUUUGUGGCUCAACCUUAGAACUGCCGUUGAAACUGGGAGACUUGAGUAUGUUUGAGGAAGGCGGAAUGCGUGGUGUAGCGGUGAAAUGCUUAGAUAUCACGCAGAACCCCGAUUGCGAAGGCAGCCUGCCAAGCCAUUACUGACGCUGAUGCACGAAAGCGUGGGGAUCAAACAGGAUUAGAUACCCUGGUAGUC